UGUUCCAGUUGCCUAGUGGUUAUAGCGUUCACCUUGGAUGGGAGAGAUCAUGGGUUCAAUCCCCAGUCAAGUCAUAACAA